CAAUUGUACCCUGAUCUAUCACAAGGACAGAUAGGUCCUUCAUGAUUUGAGCAAGCUCAUUUACUGAUGCCACAACCUGUUUAAUCUCUCUCUCCCUUUCCUCAGUUAAUUGCUCACUUUUCUUUAGCUGAAUUGUUUGGUGCUGAUUAAAACCCAGGUCACUGAAUUCAUCAUCUUUAUAUCUGGAUUUGUUCUCAUUUAGGUUCAUCCCGAAGUCAAACCCAUCGUGUUCCUCUUUUUGCUGCUGCAGACGUUUAAGA
rnacentral:misc_RNA from 1 species